rnacentral:rRNA from 1 species
AUUGAACGCUGGCGGCAUGCCUAACACAUGCAAGUCGAACGGCAGCACAGUAAAUACUUCGGCCUUUAUGGGUGGCGACUGUCGGACGGGUGAGUAACGCGGAGGAAUAGGUUCUGGAGGGUGGGAUUACCAGAGGAAACUGGGGCUAAUACCGCAUGAUAUCCAGAGAACAAACGCAGGGGACCCUGCGGGGCCUUGCGCUGCAUGAGGAGCCUACGUCGGAUUAGCCAGUUGGUGGGGUAAAGGCCUACCAAGGCGACGUUGCGUAGCUGGUCUGAGAGGAUGACCAGCCACACUGGGACUGAGACACGGCCCAGACUCCUACGGGAGGCAGCAGUGGGGAAUCUUGGACAAUGGGGGAAACCCGGAUCCAGCGAUGCCGCGUGUGUGAAGAAGGCCUUCGGGUUGUAAAGCACUUUAGUUGGGGAAAAAAAGUAAUAAGUAAAUAAUGUAUUGCUCUGACGGUACCCAAAGAAUAAGCACCGGCUAACUCUGUGCCAGCCGCCGCGGUAA